rnacentral:rRNA from 1 species
CAAUAGCGUAUAUUAAAGCUGUUGCGGUUAAAAAGCUCGUAGUUGGAUUUCUGUCAAGGACAACUGGUCCGCCCUCCGGGUGAGCACAUAGUUUGGUCUUGGCAUCUUGCUGGAAACUGUUGCUGCGCUUGGUUGUGUGGUGCAGCUUUCAGCACUUUUACUUUGAGGAAAUUGGAGUGUUUCAAGCAGGCACAUGCCUUUGGACACAGUAGCAUGGAAUAAUUAGAUUGGGCUUUUGCUCCAACUUGUUGGUUCCUGGAGCUGAGGUGAGAAUCAAUGGGGAUUGUUGGGGGCAUCCGAAUUUAGCCGUCAGAGGUGAAAUUCUUGGAUCUGCUAAAGACGGACAACUGCGAAAGCGUUUGCCCAGGAUGUUUUCAUUGA